rnacentral:rRNA from 1 species
UACGAGUGCCCCGAGCGUUAUCCGGAAUCAUUGGGCGUAAAGGGUGUGUAGGUGGUCAUACUAGUCUUCUGUUAAAUUCUUCGGCUUAACCGGGGGCAUGCAGGGGAAACGGUAUGACUAGAGGAUGCGAGAGGUGUGUGGAACUCUAAGUGUAGGGGUGAAAUCCGUUGAUAUUUAGGGGAACACCAAAAGCGAAGGCAGCACACUGGCGCAUUCCUGACACUGAGACACUAAAGCGUGGGUAGCGAAUGGG